rnacentral:lncRNA from 1 species
AUGUUGCUGAGAUUGUCCCAUUUUUCUCUUUCAGAGUGGUAUGACAUGAGCAAUAGCCUUUUUCUGCUAUUGAGGCAAAAUUGGAGAGCCCAGGCCACACUGUCUCGAGUGAUAUGGCAAGUCUCAGGCUUUCACAGAUGUUUGCGAGAACUGCUAUUGCCAGGGAGGGAUUUCUCCAUGGACUACUUUUCCAGAAGAAGGAAAAAAACCUUGCAAUUUCCUCCUACUGUAUCUGGAGAAAAUGGCGAUAAUCACGCUAUACAUGUACACAGUUAUCUCUGUAGCCAGCUGGACGGCAUCACGCCCAGACGGCCGUAUGCAGCGCGGCGGACUUGCGGAGCAGGCACCCUCCGGCCCGCUCCAGAACCCCCCGACAAUCUCUGCCACCGAACCAAGCGAUUGAAGGAGCUCGUUGUGAUUGGCUGACACGACUGUAACUCGCUAGCCAAUAGUAGCAUGGAAUUUGGAAUGGACCAGUCGGAAAGCGGGUAGUAGAAUAAGUGACGUCACUGGUGCCGGUAUCCAGUAGGAACGCUGAAAGUGGAGGCUGCAGAUUUGCAUAAGGCCCCUAUAAAUAGGGCCGUAAUCGCCUCGCCCGGCACUCCGGUGCUCCAGCGGAAUCCGCGAGUUCUCGACAUGCCUGAGCCGGCCAAGUCCGCGCCCGCGCCCAAGAAGGGCUCCAAGAAGGCGGUGACCAAGACGCAGAAGAAGGGCGACAAGAAGCGCAAGAAGAGCCGCAAGGAGAGCUACUCGAUCUACGUGUACAAGGUGCUGAAGCAGGUGCACCCCGACACGGGCAUCUCGUCCAAGGCCAUGGGCAUCAUGAACUCCUUCGUCAACGACAUCUUCGAGCGCAUCGCCGGCGAGGCGUCGCGCCUGGCGCACUACAACAAGCGCUCCACCAUCACCUCGCGGGAGAUCCAGACGGCCGUGCGGCUCCUGCUGCCCGGCGAGCUGGCCAAGCACGCCGUCUCCGAGGGCACCAAGGCCGUCACCAAGUACACCAGCUCCAAGUAGAGCGUCCCGGACCGUCAGUUUUAACCCAAAGGCUCUUUUAAGAGCCACCUAUUUUCUCAAUUAGAAGGGCUGUGUUACUUUUUCUGUUCGGGAGAGGUAUGUAAAAAGCCUUUUUGUUUGCAAACAACUAGAAUGUAAAUACUCGGCCAUUUCGGCAGUUAAAAUGUAGCUGUUAAAAAGUUCGGAGGGUUUUCAGUUCUGAACUAGAUAAAGAGUAACAGUUUAUACUAGGCGUAAUGGGCUACAUUUAGCUAUUAUGCUAUCGAUUCUGGGCUUGAAUGCCGCUAAGAAAAAAUAGAAGCAACUCUCUUGUGUUUGCCAGCUCUUCUAUUUCGGAAUUUAGAGGUCUCUCUAGGGAAGGUAGGUAAUCCUUUUUUUGGUCUAUAAAUUAUUGUGGUAACUGAUCUACUCUAUAUAUGUUUUUAAAUCCCUGUUACAGUUUAGGCUGAAAACUUCAGUUGCUAUUAAAAAUGCACGUCGUUUUCUAUGUACUGCAAACGUUCACGUAUAUCGUGGUUUCUGCCCUUAAUAUUUAGAAAACAGUUACUCAACCCGAAUCUUCCAGGUAUUUUUUCACUGCAGUCCAGUGUACCCUCCUCCCCGUCACCUUCUAUUUUCUAAAUAAAGUGGCUGUCACUAUUCA